rnacentral:lncRNA from 1 species
AGCCAGUGUCUUACUCAUUGAGCCAUGUGUCCACCCACUUCUGACAAUAUUUUAAAUUUAAAAUAAAUAAACAAGAAUAAGGCGUUAGGUUUCUUUGUAUCUUUGUGAGUCAUAAACCAUACAGUGGAGAGAAAACCUUGGGAUGCUCUUAGUGUUUAUAGGGAAAGCCUGUUUAGUUUACAGCAGCAUUUAGCAUGAAUGGUUCUCUUUUAUGUUUGAUUCAUUUAUUUUAUGAUUUGAUUUCUCCCUAAGUGUAAGUUGUGUGCUGAGGUGUGUAGUGGGUGUUGAGGGUUUUUCUGUGCCUCCCAGGCUGCCGUGGAGUGUGUCUGCCUCCUGAGUGCUGCCUAAAACGUCACUGUCAAACCACCUGCGAUGAUUGACAUUAGGUAUAAUUGUUCGGCUGAAUGUUUGGGGAUAUUAUCUCAAAAUGCCAUGGCCAAGCACAGGUCAGAAAUCUCUGGAUACACACAGCAUUGUUAGUGCAGGGCCGGGAAGCCUUUUUAUUCUGGAUGGGAUAGUUUGGAUGUUCAAAAUGAAGUCUGAGUGCAGUUGCGGUAGCUCAGGACCAUACUCCUGGCUCUCCAGGAGGCAGUCGGACUGCAGGAGUUGGUGAGUGCGUAGGCUGCUUAGUGUGCUCUAGGAUAGUCUAGGCUACAGGGAAACCUUGUCUCACAACAAACCGGGCAACCCCAGAGUGCCUGCUUUUAGGAGCUAAGUUCUAGGCAAGCUUCAGAGACCAUUGCUGCUUAAAGGUGAAAGAGGCAGAAAUGGCAGAUUUCAGUAUGCGUUGUACUUACUCCUAAAGAGGUUUGGUUUUUAUUAUAUAUGUGUGGUUAUCUUGUCUGAGUGUCUGUCUCUAUAUCGCCUGUGUGAAUGGUGACUGCAAAUGCCAGAAGAGGCAUAGGACGGCGUGGAGCUAGAAUUACAGACCUGUGUGGGCCACGAUGUAACUGACUGCUGGGAGGAAAUCCCUCUGGUUAUGUUUGCCUCUUCAAAAUGGGAUCUCACCGUGCAGCUCAGGCUGCCCUUGAACUCAGACUCACGGUCCUGCCUAAGUUUUGUAAGUGCCGGGACUCUGUAGACAGGGCUGGCACCACUGCUACAACUACAUCUGGUUUUACGUAGCGCUGGGGAGCUACAACCCCUAGACCUCUGAUUUGCUGGUUUUUUUUUGUUGUUGUUGUUGUUAUAUUUCUUCUCAUUUUAGUCGUUCUUCAGGGGCAAGGAAUUGCUGUGUAUAAAGGACUUUAGGACUAUUGGGAAGUAUGCCCUGUACUAUUCAUACCUAUGUCAGGAAACACUUCUCACUAAUAGGGCAAAGGCCAUGGUCGUCACUGAGCAAACUGAGUGACUUUCUGGUAAACGCUGCGGCUUUAUUGUGAGAUGUUGUCCUCAGGAUGGUCUUUACAUGCCUUGGAAUGUCAGUUCAAUUACAUUUUAAUUAAAACAAAACUCAGAGAGUGCUUGAUAGCUGUGAUUUUUCUAAAUUAUCAACAAAUGUGUCUAGUUCGUCAAGUGUUUUAUUUAAAAUUAUAAAUGACUAUUUGCAUCUUUGAGAUGUUUCAGAUACCUCCUCCCCUUCCUUUCUUCUCCCCUUUUAUUUCAUGUGCAUUGAUGUUUGUCUGCAUGCAUGUCUUUGUAAGGGUGUCAGAUCUAUAGUUACAGACAGUUGUAGGCUGCCGUGUGGGUGCUGGGAAUUGAACCUGAGUCCUGGAAGAACAGCCAGUGCUUUUUUUUUUCCCUUCUGUUUUUUCAAGUCAGGGUCUCUCUGUGUAGCCCUGAUGUCCUGGAACUCACUCUGUAAACCAAGCUAGCUUUGAACUCAGAGAUCCCCUUGCCCCUGUCUCCACCACCAUGCCCAGCAUAGCAGGCAUUCCUAACCACUAAUUAUUCACUGCUUACAUUUGGUGCUCAACUUGGAACACACAAAUGUAGUAAGGCUAGGUGGCUAGCAAGCCGCAGGGAUCUGUUUCUGCUUUGCCUGGGCCAAGAGUGUAAGCAUUCAACACCAGGGCGCCUUUAAUGUAUGUGGUUGGCAGUUUGAGCUCAGGUCAGAUUGUACAACCAUCUUCCCAGCCCAUUGAAUGAUUGGGAGACAGUCUUGCUAGGUUGGCUUUGAACUUGGAGUCCUCCCACCUCUGCCUGGGGAAUUACAUGCUUAAUAGAGUAUGCUUGAGUAAACUGUGGUGAGAUCGAGAGACCCUUGACUGCUUGUUUUUCAGAUGUACAGUAGUUAGUACCAAGCUUGUCUGGACUCGGUCAUUUGUAGCACGGCUGGGAUCAGAGCAGUGAGUGUAAGGGGCUCCGGGCAGUCAGAAUGUGAGUGGUAAGGGUCUCCCAGCCCCAGCGGUAUUAGCGUUCUCAGGGUUGGAAGUCGGUCUGUUGUCUCUGGCUUAUGUAGUUCUGAUAAGCUUGUUGCUCUUCUGAUUCGAUGGAGCAUAAAGUUGAAAAAGUAAUUGACUGUAAAUGAGAAGGUGUAU